GACGAACGCUGGCGGCGUGCUUAACACAUGCAAGUCGAGCGGAGCGGCGAAAGGGUGAGUAACGCGUGAGUAACUGCCCCCCUCUCUGGGAUAACAGUUGGAAACGGCUGCUAAUACCGGAUAGUGGGGGAUGACUCGCGUCCGAUCAGCUUGUUGGUGGGGUAGUGGCCUACCAAGGCGACGACGGGUAGCCGGCCUGGGAGGGCGAUCGGCCCCAUGGGGCUGAGAUACGGCGCAAACUCUAACGGGAGGCAGUGGUGGGGAAUAUUGCACAAGUGGGGAAACCCUGAGACAGAGACGCCGCGUGCGGGAUGACGGCCUUCGGGUUGUAAACCGCUUUCAGCCAUGACGCGGUAGUGGCAGAAGAAGCACCGGCUAACUACGUGCCAGCAGCCGCGGUAAUUC
rnacentral:rRNA from 1 species